UCCGAUGUGGUCUAAUGGUUAGGAUUUCUGGCUUUCAAACCUAAAUCUCAAAAAAGUUCAAUGAAACUUUAAAGCACCCAGGCGGUCCGGGUUCGAUUCCCGGCAUCGGAG
rnacentral:tRNA from 1 species